GGUUGCGGUUUUGAUUUUCUCGACCCAGUACCAGUAGAGCAACUUGUGGCGAAUCUCGAUGUUGUUCGGUGGUUCUGGUUCGGUGGUCAUGGGCUGUCCCAAUGGUCGCGGGUUGUUCCGGUGGUUUUGGUUGAUUUUCCUGAUGUUACGGUCUUGUGUUUGGAAAUGUGUUUGGGAACGUGUUUGGGGUCAAUGAAUGGCCACUUGCCUUGGAGAAGACUUCUUGAAUCUUCCUAGCUCCAGCUGGCACCCGAUCAGCCCUUGCAUGCUCUUAGCUUGGCCUUCCUUCAACACGUCCAGACCAUGUGCCACUUCCUUAGUUGGUCCUUCAUGCAACCAUAACACCUGAGCAUUACCCUAUGGAGGCACCACAGGUAAAUAAUCAACCCCAUUUUUUUUUCCUUAUC